UACGUAGGGUGCAAGCGUUAAUCGGAAUUACUGGGCGUAAAGCGUGCGUAGACGGUUAUUUAAGUCGGGUGUGAAAGCCCCGGGCUCAACCUGGGAAUUGCAUUCGAGAGUGAAUAGCUAGGGUACGGUAGAGGGAAGUGGAAUUUCCGGUGUAGCGGUGAAAUGCGUAGAUAUCGGAAGGAACAUCAGUGGCGAAAGCGACUUCCUGGACCAGUACCGACGUUCAGGCACGAAAGCGUGGGGAGCAAACAGG
rnacentral:rRNA from 1 species